rnacentral:rRNA from 1 species
UGAGGAAUAUUGGGCAAUGCCCGCAAGGGUGACCCAGCAACGCCGCGUGGAGGAUGAAUGUCGUAAGAUUGUAAACUCCUGUUAGAGGGGAAGAAUAGUACCGGUUGGACCGGUAUAUGACUGUACCCUCAGAGAAAGCCCCGGCUAACUACGUGCCAGCAGCCGCGGUAAUACGUAGGGGGCAAGCGUUGUCCGGAUUUACUGGGUGUAAAGGGCGCGCAGGCGGGAUAAAAAGUCAGUGGUGAAAUCCUACAGCUUAACUGUAGAACUGCCUUUGAUACUUUUAUUCUUGAGUUCGGGAGAGAGAGACGGAAUUCCAGGUGUAGUGGUGAAAUACGUAGAUAUCUGGAAGAACACCAGUUGCGAAGGCGGUCUCUUGGUCCGACACUGACUCUGAGGCGCGAAAGCGUGGGGAGCAAACA